rnacentral:rRNA from 1 species
AGGUAUCGUAAUUGAAGAGGUUUGGAAAGACCCACCACAGAAGGUAAUAGUCCUGUAUGUUAAACGAGAAGACUUUAGAUAUGAUCCAGAGUACCACGGGACACGUGAAACCCUGUGGGAAGCAGGAGGGACCACCCUCCAAGGCUAAAUACUACCUAGUGACCGAUAGCGUAUAGUACCGUGAGGGAAAGGUGAAAAGAACCCCGGGAGGGGAGUGAAAUAGAACCUGAAACCCUGCACUUACAAGCUGUGGAAGCACAUUUCUUGUGUGACCGCGUACUUUUUGUAGAACGGGCCAACGAGUUACGUUAAGUAGCAAGGUUAAGCACUUAAGGUGUGGAGCCGUAGCGAAAGCGAGUUUUAACUGAGCGUUCAGUUACUUGACGUAGACCCGAAACCGGGCGACCUACCCAUGAGCAGGAUGAAGCGAAAGUAAAAUUUCGUGGAGGUCCGAACCCACGAGCGUUGAAAAGCUCGGGGAUGACUUGUGGGUAGCGGUGAAAUUCCAAUCGAGCCCGGAGAUAGCUGGUUCUCCCCGAAAUAGCUUUAGGGCUAGCCUCAAGGUGAGAGAUACGGAGGUAGAGCACUGAAUGUCCUAGGGGGUAUUGCACCUACCGAAGACUAUCAAACUCCGAAUGCCGUCAUCUUAUACUUGGGAGUCAGACUGUGGGUGAUAAGAUUCAUAGUCGAAAGGGCAACAGCCCAGAUCGUCAGCUAAGGUCCCUAAAUGUAAGUUAAGUGGUAAAGGAUGUGGGAUUGCACAGACAACCAGGAUGUUGGCUUAGAAGCAGCCACUCAUUCAAAGAGUGCGUAAUAGCUCACUGGUCGAGUGAUCCUGCGCCGAAGAUUUCCGGGGCUAAAACUUACUACCGAAGCUACGGCAUCAGUAAUGAUGGGUAGGGGAGCUUCCCAUACGGGUUGAAGCAUGACCGUAAGGACAUGUGGACAGUAUGGGAGUGAGAAUGUUGGCAUGAGUAGCGAGAUGUGGGUGAGAAUCCCACAGGCCGUAAACCCAAGGUUUCCAGGGGAAGGUUCGUCCGCCCUGGGUUAGUCGGGACCUAAGCUGAGGCCGAAAGGCGUAGGUGAUGGACAACAGGUUGAUAUUCCUGUACUACCGAUAACCGUUUGAGAGAAGGGAUGACACAGUAGGAUAAGCUAAGCACACUGUUGGUUAUGUGUGCCCAAGCAUUGAGGCAGUCAAAGUAGGCAAAUCCGCUUUGAUAAUGCUGGGAUGUGAUGGGGAGCGAAAUUUAGUAGCGAAGUAGCUGAUUUCACACUGUCAAGAAAAGUCUCUAUCGAGGUUAAAGGUACCCGUACCGCAAACCGACACAGGUGGGUGAGGAGAGUAUCCUAAGGCCAGCGAGAGAACUGUUGUUAAGGAACUCGGCAAAAUGACCCCGUAACUUAGGGAUAAGGGGUGCCACCAUCAGGUGGCCGCAGAGAAUAGGCCCAAGCGACUGUUUACCAAAAACAUAGGUUUCUGCUAAGUCGCAAGACGAUGUAUAGGAGCUGACGCCUGCCCGGUGCUGGAAGGUUAAGGGGAUCUGUUAGAGCAAUCGAAGCAGUGAACUUAAGCCCCAGUAAACGGCGGCCGUAACUAUAACGGUCCUAAGGUAGCGAAAUUCCUUGUCGGGUAAGUUCCGACCCGCACGAAAGGCGUAACGAUUUGGGCACUGUCUCAACAACAGACUCGGUGAAAUUGUAAUUCCGGUGAAGAUGCCGGAUACCUGCGACAGGACGGAAAGACCCCAUGGAGCUUUACUGUAGCUUGACAUUGGGUCUUGGUACUACAUGUACAGGAUAGGUGGGAGGCUUUGAAACCAGGACGCCAGUUUUGGCGGAGCCAUCCUUGGGAUACCACCCUUGUAGUACUGGGACUCUAACCAUAGGCCAUGAAUCUGGUCUUGGGACACUGUCAGGUGGGCAGUUUGACUGGGGCGGUCGCCUCCCAAAAGGUAACGGAGGCGCUCAAAGGUUCUCUCAGUACGGUCGGAAAUCGUACGUAGAGUGUAAAGGCAAAAGAGAGCUUGAUUGCAAGACAUACAGGUCGAGCAAGGAUGAAAAUCGGACUUAGUGAUCCGGUGGUUCUGCGUGGAAGGGCCAUCGCUCAACGGAUAAAAGCUACCCUGGGGAUAACAGGCUUAUCUCCCCCAAGAGUCCACAUCGACGGGGAGGUUUGGCACCUCGAUGUCGGCUCAUCACAUCCUGGGGCUGUAGUAGGUCCCAAGGGUUGGGCUGUUCGCCCAUUAAAGUGGUACGCGAGCUGGGUUCAGAACGUCGUGAGACAGUUCGGUCCCUAUCCGUCGCAGGCGUAGGAAAUUUGAGAAGACCUGUCCUUAGUACGAGAGGACCGGGAUGGACGUACCUCUGGUGUACCAGUUGUCCUGCCAAGGGCAUGGCUGGGUAGCUAUGUACGGAAUGGAUAAGCGCUGAAAGCAUCUAAGCGCGAAGCCAACUUCAAGAUAAGAUUUCCCACCGCAAGGGUAAGACCCCAGAAAGACUAUCUGGUUGAUAGGUCGAAGGUGUAAGUGCAGCAAUGUAUUUAGCUUAUCGAUACUAAUAGGUCGAGGACUUGACC